rfam:Schistosoma curassoni strain Dakar, Senegal genome assembly, scaffold: SCTD_contig0001798
AUGAAGCUGACGAGCCUCCAAUAGAGCGAAACGCGCGUCCUGGAU